GGUUUCUCUGACAUGAAGUAUGAAGAAGAAUUAAUUAACAAAAUUCUAAAACAGAUGUGUUGCACAUGCAUAUUGAAAAGUCACGGUUUACUAGGUCUUCAGGUCUGUCAUGUGAUUAUUCUUGAGAAUGUUGGUGUCAUGCAUUUUAUGUGGAACGCCUGAAACAGGAAAAGCAGAGCGAAAACAGAAACCUCUUUCUUAACAGUAUGUGACCUGCACAUUCAGACAUGGUUAUCGGAACUGUUCCCUGCAUGGAAGAACCUCACAUCUGUGAAACCAAAAUACAGCUUGCAGUGUAUGCUAUGUAUUUUUAGUGUCUGUCUCUUUACAUUAAACUCCAUUUAAAAGUG